rnacentral:rRNA from 1 species
CGCCCCCAUUUGCCCAAAGACCACGCCUUCCCGCGCGCGAAUGGGUUCUUCGACCGCCGCCUCUGCGAGAUCGAGGAGGCGGACGCCCUAGCCGCCGACCAGUCCUGGUCGGGGUCGCCGUCGCAGUCCACCUCCCCGUCGUCGGCGUCGUCGCUGCCGAUGUCGUCGUGCGGCCAGUACAUGCUGCACCGGGUCGGCAAGUUCGACACCCUCGCCGGCGUCGCUAUCAAGUACGGAGUCGAGGUAGCUGACGUCAAGAGGCUGAAUAGCCUCUCGACUGACCUCCAGAUGUUUGCGCACAAGACGCUGCGGAUUCCGCUCCCUGGAAGGCAUCCUCCUCCACCUUUCCAGCAGAAUGGUUCACACGAGUGUGAUGACAGGGAAUGUACUCCACGGCGUCUUCAUGAUGAUCUACUGGAUUCAGUUUUGCGAACACCAAGACACAAAGUCUCGCCAGCCAUGAGCCUUUUGCAGGGAUACUAUGGUCUCACACCACCUCCAAAGAGGAACCCGACACAGGAAGGCACCGAGAUAGCAGUAUAUGGAAAAGGCAAGUCAAUUUCCUUGGUUGAUGAGCCCUGGUCUGCAGAGACACCAAAUCCCAACACGUUCAUGUUUGAGCAUAGGAAACCCAGAAGCCAGACAAUAGGUUCUCUUGUGAAUGGUGAGUCUGAGGAGAAUGGAGACGGCGAAAGGCCAGUAAGGAGGCGCCCGAAAGCUGACGGCGAGUUGCUACCUAGGGAGGAAAAUGGCAGUGCCUUGUUGUCACGGGCGGGAAAAGGCCUCGCAUUGAGGCCAAAGUCGGGCACUCGACCAGACAUGAACAAGAGCCAUCAGAAUCUUAUCGCGAUGUCGGAGCCUUCGUUUGACGGCGGGCUUCAAACCGUAAAGAAAUCGUCGAGCACCCCUGAGUUCCAAGAGCCAGAGAGCAACAGCAGCUCCUCGUCCAUAUGGUCAGCAAGCAAGUGGAGCUUGAAACCAGACGCUUUCGCCCUUCCUCUUUUUGACAGCAUUCCAAAGCCAAUCGCUGCUUGGAAAAACAAGGCGGCCCGAGAUUAG